UAGCUCUGGACAAAGACUGAUUACUUCUACACAAUAUAACAAGGAAAAAAGCUUGUGGCAACUGUCUUCUCUGAACAGCUGUCUUGUGAACAUGGGCCUCAGUACAAUAAAGGUAAGGUAUUUCAGGUUUUGGACUCAAUCAUGUGCUACGCUUUAUUUGCAAUUUCAAAUAAUUUCUUGCAGUUCCAGAAUACCUGUAACUGUAUUUCUGUAUUUGUAACUGUAUUUCUUUUCACAGAUCUAAGAGGACACUUCACACCCUACAACCCGUAAAAAUAACCCAGAUUUGACAGAACUACACACCCAUCUGAGGCCUACUGUACCUGUUUUACUUUCAUGAUCACUGCAGAUACUUCUACAAUUGACCCGCUUUGUGUCUGAUGUUGAUGCGGUCUGGGCACUAGUAUCUGUUGGCUUGCUGACUAUCACUGAAGAUGAAGUACUUCUCCAAAUCUUCUUUGCCUUGACCCUGUGUCUUCUGCCAUCAUUGUUCAGUGUAGUACUGCAAAGAACAGUCUCCAGGGUCUACCUCGAACAUUUGCUUCCGGACCGCCAUGUGCUACAUUUGGAUUACUGGUACAUGUGGAUUACCCUGAUACUGUGAAGAACACUUACAAUAUGAUGCUUGACGACUUGGGACAGAAAAAAACAAAAAGCAG
ensembl:lncRNA